CAAAGGUGGAGGUGCAGCUCUAGAAACCCAGGCAAAGAGGGAACUCAAACUUGGGACCUCAACCUUAGCAAGCCAGCUCACCUACCACUGGGCUACAACCUAGUGGCUACCAACAUGCCUCCCACUCCACCCCUCAGUGGGCAAGAGGCAUUCCAGGGAAGCGGGCUGGAACCCAGACCCCUGCAGCACCACUAAGAAAACGUGGUCAGCCCUGGUGGCCAUUCCAGGCUGUGGCCCCUGCAUUUACCUGGAUGCCAUCCAAGGCAGCAGCCCCAACUUCAAGCCACCCCUGACCUGAAGCUUCUGUUAGACAUGGGAAACCUGCUACUCUCCAGGCCUCUGCCAAAGGAAGGGGACAAGGCACUAUGCUCAAACUGCACUUUGUGCAAGUCCCUGAUAUGGAGAGGGUUUCUCUAACCUGCUGAGUCUGCACUGGGCUGGGCCAGUCCUAGGGCCACUUCUGGGCUACAGGAGGACAAGCACUGAAGUUAGAAGCCAUCAGACAGCGUACCUCUCUCAUUCAGUAUGUAGGAAGGAUGGUCCUGAGGGGAUGUAUUCACAACUGCAAUUUAGCAACAACAGUCUUUCUCAAGUUAUGGAGAACACCACAGUCAUGUACAUGCCUCACAAGUUGUUUGUUCCCUGUGCAGUCUUCAGCAAACAAAGAAGGAGAAGGAAGCAGGAUCAUGUGAAGGGAAAUGACUGAUAUAAGGAAAAGAAAUUGGCUCCUAUUUCUAGACCCAAUGAACCAGAUUCUGUAUCAUGAUCCUAUGCCUCAGGACGUUGACAGCUCUACCUCUUAAAUAAAGACCUAACCAGAAAAGCUGAGUCUGGGACUGAAUGCUUGGAAUUCCAAUUGGUGGUAUCUAUCUAUAACAGCCUUGUUCACAUUUGAUAUAUUGCCAUAUGUCCAGGAUGUGACUGGCGGGUGUUAGGCUGUUACAAGUCAAGUUAAACUCUUUUUUGUGACACCAGAAGAGUCACAGAUUCUUCAGCUUGCAGGAUCUGGGUCUGUGAUGUCACUCAAAGAUGAUUCCAAUUUGAAUGUUAAGGUUUGUUAGUCUUUGUUUAGGGGAAAUUCAUAUUGAUUUCCUGAUGCAUAUACCUGAUGAAUAAAGUGAUCAUCAUUGGUGAGGGAGUGCUUUCUUUACCCCAGAAACCUGACUUUCAGUAGCUCCCAUACCUGAGUAAAGCACUCAGCCUUUGGAGUUUACUGAUUCAUUUCAUCACUGAGUCCUCAGAAAGAUUGAGGUGAAUCAAGAUUAGAGACAGAACAGUGCCAAAACCUGAGAUAUAAAGCCUCCUCAAAAUGUUGGAACUAAAGCCACAUUAUUGGUGAUGUGCUACCAACAUUUUAACCGAAGACUCAUGCAGGUAUUUCUACUGCAUCAGCAGUAAAAGUGUUAUUCCUUGGGUAAAAAGCAUCUUGUGAGAUAAAAUCUGGUAGUGCUGAAAAAUCGUGGAGAUUCUUGCUUGAAAAACACUUGUUCAGCACUCCCUGGCAGCCAGGAUGAUUGUCUUCCAUGACUGUCUUAUCUGUUGGUCCAAAGAUGGCUGAUGAGGCUGAUCUGUGAAUAGCAGACUCUUUUGCAACUUGGGCUCAUGUUUCUGUGUGGGGUGGGUGGCUCCGGAUUCUUGAUUCACUCUGCGAGACUGUUUCUGCUGCUCCUGUUUUUCCCUCUCCUGUUGUCAUCAUAAGGUUUCAAAGUACUGAGAUCCUUGCAGCAGACUCUUCCUCCAUUUGUAGCAGUCCUGUGUGAUAGUCUCCCAUGAGUUGAUGCCAACGUUGCCUUUUUCAAGUUGGCCUUGAGGAUGUCCUUGAAGCGCUUUCUCUGCCCUCCUCUUGGGCAUGCUCCUUGACUGAGCUGGGAGAAUAAAACUUGCUUUGGGAGUCAGGAGUUGGACAACCAGAUGAUGUGGCUGCCCCAGCAAAGCUGAUGUUGGAUGAUUAUCGCCACCUCGCCGCUCAUGGUGUUCGCCUGCAAGAGGACGUUCAUGUUGUGUCCAUGCCUUGAUUGGCUGAGAUGAGAGUGCUGUUUCUGAAGUAUAUGUUGUAGUUUCUUUUCUGUUCCAUCCAGCAAGAGCACAGACCAACUGCAGAUGCCUCUUCAGCCUGACAAAGGGUGUUUGUGCCCAAAAGCUUGCAAAGAAGAAUUUUUCCAACUAUUUUACUUGGUUUAAUAAAAGAUACAAGAUUU